CCUACGGGGGGCUGCAGUGAGGAAUAUUGGUCAAUGGGCGGGAGCCUGAACCAGCCAAGCCGCGUGAGGGAAGAAGGUACAGCGUAUCGUAAACCUCUUUUGUCAGGGAACAAAGGCGGGGACUAGUCCCCGGAUGAGGGUACCUGAAGAAAAAGCAUCGGCUAACUCCGUGCCAGCAGCCGCGGUAAUACGGAGGAUGCGAGCGUUAUCCGGAUUUAUUGGGUUUAAAGGGUGCGUAGGCGGGAUGCCAAGUCAGCGGUAAAAAUGCGGUGCUCAAAGCCGUCGAGCCGUUGAAACUGGCGUUCUUGAGUGGGCGAGAAGUAUGCGGAAUGCGUGGUGUAGCGGUGAAAUGCAUAGAUAUCACGCAGAACUCCGAUUGCGAAGGCAGCAUACCGGCGCCCUACUGACGCUGAGGCACGAAAGCGUGGGUAUCGAACAGGAUUAGAUACCCGAGUAGUC
rnacentral:rRNA from 1 species